rnacentral:misc_RNA from 1 species
GGGAGGGCGUGUGAGUGGCAAUUGGGAUGUUUGUGUUGUCUGGCUCCGUGAUCGCGGUCAUCGAACUUUCAUCACACAACCCUUCUCAUGUUCGCCUUGUGUCAUUUCGGCCCCGGCGUUCAAUUGUGGUUCUUGUGUUGCCUACCUGUUAAGUGGUAUUCAUGUGCCUCUCAUGACCCGUUCCAUCCAGACCCCUUCUAGAGGUCGUUGGAGGAUUCGAAAGUGAUAUGUGUGAUGUGUUAGUUGUGCAUUGUAACGGCUUUCUAUCUCACACUUGUCUAGUGUUCCCUCGGAUGCGGUGCAUGCGGCGAACGUGGGCUGACGAGUCUGUCCCGUUGAGUCCCUUUGAUUUAUCGGUUCCCUUGAAUGACACUUUGCUGUGGUGUGGGUUUUGCUUAACCAUUCGUGGUGGCAACACUCGCACGACGAGCAAAGUCAUUGAUG